UACGGAAGGGGCAAGCGUUGUUCGGAAUCAUUGGGCGUAAAGGGCGCGUAGGUGGUUCUGUAUGUCUACCGUGAAAGCAUACAGCUCAACUGUAUUCUGUCGGUAGAAACUGCAGGACUUGAGGCUGGGAGGGGCUGGUGGAAUUCCCUGUGUAGCGGUGAAAUGCGUAGAGAUGGGGGAGAACACUCGUGGCGAAGGCGGCCAGCUAGACCAGUUCUGACACUGAGGCGCGACAGCGUGGGGAGCAAACAGG
rnacentral:rRNA from 1 species